AUCGUAAAUUUUUAUUUAAAACACGAGCUUUCGAUUGCUAGUCUGCAAUCUUCAUCACUUUACCUGUCGAAGACUGCAGACUGGCAGUCGAAAGCUCGUGUUUUAAAUAAAAAAAUUUA